GACGAACGCUGGCGGCGUGCCUAAUACAUGCAAGUAGAACGCUGAAGAGAGGAGCUUGCUCUUCUUGGAUGAGUUGCGCACGGGUGAGUAACGCGUAGGUAACCUGCCUUGUAGCGGGGGAUAACUAUUGGAAACGAUAGCUAAUACCGCAUAACAAUGGAUGACACAUGUCAUUUAUUUGAAAGGGGCAAUUGCUCCACUACAAGAUGGACCUGCGUUGUAUUAGCUAGUAGGUGAGGUAAUGGCUCACCUAGGCGACGAUACAUAGCCGACCUGAGAGGGUGAGCGGCCACACUGGGACUGAGACACGGCCCAGACUCCUACGGGAGGCAGCAGUAGGGAAUCUUCGGCAAUGGGGGCAACCCUGACCGAGCAACGCCGCGUGAGUGAAGAAGGUUUUCGGAUCGUAAAGCUCUGUUGUAAGUCAAGAACGGGUGUGAGAGUGGAAAGUUCACACUGUGACGGUAGCUGACCAGAAAGGGACGGCUAACUACGUG
rnacentral:rRNA from 1 species